rnacentral:tRNA from 1 species
GUCCUCAUGGAGCAGUCCGGAAUGCUCGUCUGCCUGUCACGCAGAAGGUCACGGGUUCAAAUCCCGUUGAGGACGC